ACAAGCACUCCAAGCAACUGGAGCACAGCGCCGAGAACCUCAGCCUGCUUGAAUCGGAGAAUCUAACCCUCCGAGACGAGAACCAAGCCCUCAAUAUGGCAAGUAACAAGAAGCGUCGAUUCUGGGCUCAGAUCCGACCCAUGCCGACUCUGGAGACACCUAACUCCGGGACAGGCACAUCAUUCCCUUCCUCUUCAAAAGAUUUUGUUCCAUGUACUGAUCCAUGGUCUGGGGCACAUCAUUCUCUCCAUCUUCAAAAAGAUUUGUCCUCAAAUCUGUAACAUUAAAAGGAAAAGGGUUAUAAGCAAAAGAAUCAUAAUCAGAACAUUGCUCACCUUGAGUUUGGUUCGGGCUUUGAAUGGAAGAAGGUCCUUCUUGGUUUGCUUGAUGACCGCAGUUUUGUUCUUUAUCUG
rnacentral:lncRNA from 1 species